rnacentral:lncRNA from 1 species
UGCAUGACUGUUAGUGUCGAGAUGCCUCAGGGAGAGGGGGCGAUAAGAUGAGAGAGAGUAAUGAAGUAAAAAAGAAGUCAAGAUGGAGAAUGUUAAAGAUAUGCCUUCUUUUUUAUUGGUUUGGUUCAUACAUCGGGUUUAUGAAAAAAAAAUAAAUAAAUAGGAUCUCAUAAGGAUUUAUUUUUGGUAGAUCCUACUUUAAAUUGGAAUCGUAGGUGGACUAGGAUUGGUUUCCAUAUAACACUCUAUAUUCAAUAAUCAUAUU